rnacentral:rRNA from 1 species
UACGUAGGGUGCGAGCGUUUGUCCGGGAAUUACUGGGCGUAAAGCGCACGUAGGCGGACUGUUAAGUCAGGGGUGAAAUCCUGGAGCUCAACUCCAGAACUGCCUUGAUACUGAUGGUCUCGAGUCCGGAAGAGGUGAGUGGAAUUCCGAGUGUAGAGGUGAAAUUCGUAGAUAUUCGGAGGAACACCAGUGGCGAAGGCGGCUCACUGGUCCGGUACUGACGCUGAGGUGCGAAAGCGUGGGGAGCAACAGG